rnacentral:rRNA from 1 species
AGGGAAUCUUCCGCAAUGGACGAAAGUCUGACGGAGCAACGCCGCGUGAGUGAUGAAGGUUUUCGGAUCGUAAAGCUCUGUUGCCAGGGAAGAACGUCUUCUGGAGUAACUGCCAGGAGAGUGACGGUACCUGAGAAGAAAGCCCCGGCUAACUACGUGCCAGCAGCCGCGGUAAUACGUAGGGGGCAAGCGUUGUCCGGAAUUAUUGGGCGUAAAGCGCGCGCAGGCGGCUGUUUAAGUCUGGUGUAUAAUCCUGGGGCUCAACUCCGGGUCGCACUGGAAACUGGACGGCUUGAGUGCAGAAGAGGAGAGUGGAAUUCCACGUGUAGCGGUGAAAUGCGUAGAGAUGUGGAGGAACACCAGUGGCGAAGGCGACUCUCUGGGCUGUAACUGACGCUGAGGCGCGAAAGCGUGGGGAGCAAAC